AAGAAAGGACUGCUCAAAGUGAUGGGGUAUAGCAAGUUUCUGUGUGAACAAGUGCUAUGCAGUGUCCUUGUCUUCAUCUGCUCCUUCAGCUGCACAUCUUUUAUGAGGAGCCACUUUUCUUUAAAAAAUGCUUUACAAGGACAAAGGACUUCUUCCAACACAGCGUGGCGCCUAAUGAAGAGCCCUUUUACUUCAGUUUGCAGUGACCAACAAGUUUUUCUUCCCCCUGUUAUUGCAAAGGAAGUACUAGGAAGCUAUCUCUACUGAAGUCCUGGGGUGGCAUCAGUAAAGGAAAGCUGUUCCUAGUGUUGAAGAAUAUCUAGUUUUAGAGUCACAAACCCCAUCAUGGGAUCUUACUCUCCAUCUGCAUUUUCAACCAUGCACCUUCUGUGGAGAGCCCCUUUU